ACACGUACUAAACCUAAAGGCGCAAUGAAAGUAAAGGUCCGCCGCGCGCGGACCUAGGGAGGAUGGGACCGUCCACGGACGGACCCCGCACUCCCGGGGCGUCUCGUUCUCAUCGCGAGAAGAGGCGCACCCAGAGCGUACACGCUGGGACCCGAAAGAUGGUGAACUAUGCCUGGUCAGGACGAAGUCAGGGGAAACCCUGAUGGAGGUCCGUAGCGAUUCUGACGUGCAAAUCGAUCGUCGGAACUGGGUAUAGGGGCGAAAGACUAAUCGAACCUUCUAGUAGCUGGUUCCUUCCGA
rnacentral:rRNA from 1 species